rnacentral:rRNA from 1 species
GAGUUUGAUCAUGGCUCAGAUUGAACGCUGGCGGCAGGCCUAACACAUGCAAGUCGAGCGGUAACAGAAAGUAGCUUGCUACUUUGCUGACGAGCGGCGGACGGGUGAGUAAUGCUUGGGAACAUGCCUUNAGGUGGGGGACAACAGUUGGAAACGACUGCUAAUACCGCAUAACGUCUACGGACCAAAGGGGGCUUCGGCUCUCGCCUAAAGAUUGGCCCAAGUGGGAUUAGCUAGUUGGUGAGGUAAUGGCUCACCAAGGCAACGAUCCCUAGCUGGUUUGAGAGGAUGAUCAGCCACACUGGAACUGAGACACGGUCCAGACUCCUACGGGAGGCAGCAGUGGGGAAUAUUGCACAAUGGGCGAAAGCCUGAUGCAGCCAUGCCGCGUGUGUGAAGAAGGCCUUCGGGUUGUAAAGCACUUUCAGUCAGGAGGAAAGGUUAGUAGUUAAUACCUGCUAGCUGUGACGUUACUGACAGAAGAAGCACCGGCUAACUCCGUGCCAGCAGCCGCGGUAAUAC